UGCAGUAGGUGGCGGUAGUGAGCCUGUGUAGCCUCAGCUAUUGGCCUCCAUUAAACUCAGAGAAGAAGACAGAAGUUUGAACCAAAGUUGUGCCAGUGCCUGCGUGGAAUUCCUCUGGUGGGCGAAGAGAACCGAACUUCUAAAGCCGAGCAGAGCUACAGAGAAGAGGAGAAGAGAGAAGAGGAGAGGAGCGGUGUCCAGCCCUGGAGAGCAGGCCGUGGGCAGCAGCAGCAGUAGCAGUCUGAGCAGGCCUGGAGCUUCAAGGUCAUUACUAGAUGGAGGGUGAGAAGGAAAGAUGGAGGCAGCAGGGAGAAGAGAAGGAGAGCAAUGAGGCAGAGGACGACACAAAAAGUGACGAAGACGCUGACAAUGAACAUGCAGAAGGAGCAGCACUCGAUUGGCAAGAGGGUUACAGUCGGGACAGUCUGUGUAUUCCCAUAAUGCACUGGGAGGCCUUAAGCCUGCACAUUGCAGAGCUUGAGAAGCAAGAGGAGGAGAAAAAGAAGACGGCAAAGGAAAGCAUGUCUCUGGAGCGAGGCCGGACCCCAGUCAGCUGGAGGGAGGAAAAAGGAAGGAGAGUCCACAGCUGGGAGGAUGGAGACAUGUGCACCAGCCCCGUCCUCUCGCUCACAUCCCGCCUGCAGACACACAUGAAUCUGCAGCUCUGCUUCAUCAACAACAGUGAAAGUGAGGAUGAAGAGGAGGAGAAGACAAAAGAGGACAUCAGGACGAAGGGUGGCAACCAAUCCAUGUCAGCAGCUGCUGAGCUUCAGAGGAGCGACCAACCUUCUGCCAAGCCAGAGAAGCCCAAAGCACGAGGUUUCAAGAACACUCUGAGGAACCUGCGAGCGCGACUGAGAACAGACCACAAAGCACUGAACGCAGCUCGUUGUAAUCCAGCGUUUCAUGGCAAACAUCUGGAGGCCCAUGACUUACAGAGUUUCUGUGUGAAGGACCUGACGGCACUUUGUGCUUCUCUCAGCAAGGCCAUCCAAGACCUGAGCUCUGAGCUGGUGAGUCGCCUCCAGGCCCGGGACGAGCUGAGGAUGGAGCAGGAUGCCAUGCUGCUGGAGGUUCAGGAUCUCACCUCUGUUUGA
rnacentral:lncRNA from 1 species